GACGAACGCUGGCGGCGUGCUUAACACAUGCAAGUCGAACGGAAAGGCCCUGCUUUUGUGGGGUGCUCGAGUGGCGAACGGGUGAGUAACACGUGAGUAACCUGCCCUUGACUUUGGGAUAACUUCAGGAAACUGGGGCUAAUACCGGAUAGGAGCUCCUGCUGCAUGGUGGGGGUUGGAAAGUUUCGGCGGUUGGGGAUGGACUCGCGGCUUAUCAGCUUGUUGGUGGGGUAGUGGCUUACCAAGGCUUUGACGGGUAGCCGGCCUGAGAGGGUGACCGGGCACAAUGGGACUGAGAUACGGCCCAGACGCCUACGGGAGGCAGCAGUGGGGAAUAUUGCACAAUGGGCGGCAGCCUGAUGGAGCAACGCCGCGUGCGGGAUGACGGCCUUCGGGUUGUAAACCGCUUUCGCCUGUGACGAAGCGUGAGUGACGGUAAUGGGUAAAGAAGCACCGGCUAACUACGUG
rnacentral:rRNA from 1 species